GACGAACGCUGGCGGCGUGCCUAAUACAUGCAAGUUGAGCGAUGAAGAUUGGUGCUUGCACCAAUUUGAAGAGCAGCGAACGGGUGAGUAACGCGUGGGGAAUCUGCCUUUGAGCGGGGGACAACAUUUGGAAACGAAUGCUAAUACCGCAUAACAACUUUAAACAUAAGUUUUAAGUUUGAAAGAUGCAAUUGCAUCACUCAAAGAUGAUCCCGCGUUGUAUUAGCUAGUUGGUGAGGUAAAGGCUCACCAAGGCGAUGAUACAUAGCCGACCUGAGAGGGUGAUCGGCCACAUUGGGACUGAGACACGACCCAAACUCCUACGGGAGGCAGCAGUAGGGAAUCUUCGGCAAUAGACGAAAGUCUGACCGAGCAACGCCGCGUGAGUGAAGAAGGUUUUCGGAUCGUAAAACUCUGUUGGUAGAGAAGAACGUUGGUGAGAGUGGAAAGCUCAUCAAGUGACGGUAACUACCCAGAAAGGGACGGCUAACUACGUG
rnacentral:rRNA from 1 species